AUUGAACGCUGGCGGCAGGCUUAACACAUGCAAGUCGAGCGGAGAUGAGGUGCUUGCACCUUAUCUUAGCGGCGGACGGGUGAGUAAUGCUUAGGAAUCUGCCUAUUAGUGGGGGACAACAUUCCGAAAGGAAUGCUAAUACCGCAUACGCCCUACGGGGGAAAGCAGGGGAUCUUCGGACCUUGCGCUAAUAGAUGAGCCUAAGGCGGAUUAGCUAGUUGGUGGGGUAAAGGCCGACCAAGGCGACGAUCUGUAGCGGGUCUGAGAGGAUGAUCCGCCACACUGGGACUGAGACACGGCCCAGACUCCUACGGGAGGCAGCAGUGGGGAAUAUUGGACAAUGGGCGGAAGCCUGAUCCAGCCAUGCCGCGUGUGUGAAGAAGGCCUUUUGGUUGUAAAGCACUUUAAGCGAGGAGGAGGCUACCUGGAUUAAUACUCUAGGAUAGUGGACGUUACUCGCAGAAUAAGCACCGGCUAACUCUGUGCCAGCAGCCGCCGUAACAC
rnacentral:rRNA from 1 species